rnacentral:rRNA from 1 species
UACAGAGGUCCCAAGCGUUGUUCGGAUUCACUGGGCGUAAAGGGUGCGUAGGCGGUCGGAUAAGUCUGAUGUGAAAUCUCUGGGCUUAACCCAGAAAUGGCAUUGGAUACUAUUCGGCUAGAGAGUUGGAGGGGGGACUGGAAUUCUUGGUGUAGCAGUGAAAUGCGUAGAUAUCAAGAGGAACACCAGUGGCGAAGGCGAGUCCCUGGACAACUUCUGACGCUGAGGCACGAAAGCUAGGGGAGCAAACAGG